AAAUUGAAGAGUUUGAUCAUGGCUCAGAUUGAACGCUGGCGGCAGGCCUAACACAUGCAAGUCGAACGGUAACAGGAAGCAGCUUGCUGCUUCGCUGACGAGUGGCGGACGGGUGAGUAAUGUCUGGGAAACUGCCUGAUGGAGGGGGAUAACUACUGGAAACGGUGGCUAAUACCGCAUAAUGUCGCAAGACCAAAGAGGGGGACCUUCGGGCCUCUUGCCAUCAGAUGUGCCCAGAUGGGAUUAGCUU
rnacentral:rRNA from 1 species